UUUGGUGGGGUUGGGGUCAUACCCGAAGUCGUAUUGGAGAAUUGAGCGGAACUACUUCCAUGUGCACUCUUUUAUCGGGUCAGGAAGCCCUAUUUUUGAAGCAGGAAGACCUCUUCGUCAUCAUUAUUGGGGUAUGGGCCCUAAAUCAUUGGAAAAGACGGUUUUCUUUAGGGAAUUUACACGAUAUCGCCUGCUUCCGUACUAACAAGGGAAUGGAUGAGUUCACUUAAGAAGCAGGCCUGGCUGGUACUCAAACAGAGAAGUCAGCUCAGGUUUCAUCUCAUCUAAGCAGCAGCCAAGCGAUGAUUCUGGAAUCGUGCCAUGCUUGACAGUUGGACUUCUCGCCAUACAUAGAAAUGAACUGCUGAUGAGCUAGCUAUCCCCGAUAUGAUCUGGUACUAGACUUCACACAUGUUGCCAUCGUAUAAUCGGAGAAUUAACGCUGCUGUCUACCUU
rnacentral:lncRNA from 1 species